CUUAAUAAAGUAGGAUCAGUUUAUUCUAUCUCGUGAGAUUUUUUUUUUUUUUAAGUCAAAAAACACUUAUGCUUUUGACAAGAUCAAUGUUUAUCUCUCUCGCAUUCCUUUGUUUCUCAACAUUCUCCUCAGCUCUUUCAUCUCUGUAAUACAUGCUCUCUGGCGACUUGUGACGUCAUUGUUCAAAGCCGACGGGUUGUAUCCCCUGCUGCACUAGUCCCCGAAUAUGGUUAUCGGCUGUUCACAGACAAGACUGGACACCGAGUAAGCACUCUGUUAUAUGUGAACUGCAUUUCAACAAGGACGAUAUUUUAAGCAGUACCAGCAUGUAUGACCCGAAAACUGGUAUACUCUUGACAGCACCGUUGGAUCGUCGACGCUUGAGAAAAGAUGCUAUCCCAUCGAAGUUGCCUGGAUGCCCAUCUUACUUGUCUAGUCAUCAAACUGCAGUACGAGAGGACCCAGAAAAUUGUGCUCUUCAAAUUGCUAUCCAAGAAAGUGUGGACACACAUGAGAAAAUGAUUGAUGCGAUAUCGUUAGAUAGUUUAGAACAAAUGAAAACAAAGUUGAGUGAAUGUGAAAAGCACAGUGACUGGGUAGUGAUAAACAAAUCUGACAGUGUGAGCCUAGCGUUACUAAAGCAUAAUUCUUACCCAAGAAUUUUUUGCCACGUAGUUAUAAGCAGUGGUUUAUUACUCAGUGUCUUCAAUAAUGAUAUUGAAGUGAAAUGUAUUGGAAACAUGUAAUUUCCCAUGAAAGUAAACAACAUA